UUCUUAUCGAGAGAGACGGAGGGACUGGCCCUUUGAUGUCUCAGCAACCUGCCGAACCGGCAAAGGUGCUAAUUCCAGCGGACCUGAUUUUCGGGUCCGAAAGAUGAGAA
rnacentral:ncRNA from 2 species